rnacentral:rRNA from 1 species
GUGCCUAACACAUGCAAGUCGAGCGGUAACGCGGGAGCAAUCCUGGCGACGAGCGGCGAACGGGUGAGUAACGCUUCGGAAUCUGCCCAGUAGUGGGGAAUAACCAACCGAAAGGUUGGCUAAUGCCGCAUACGUCCUGAGGGAGAAAGCGGGGGAUCGCAAGACCUCGCGCUAUUGGAUGAGCCGAAGUCGGAUUAGCUAGUUGGUGGGGUAACGGCCUACCAAGGCGACAAUCCGUAGCUGGUCUGAGAGGACGACCAGCCACACUGGGACUGAGACACGGCCCAG